rnacentral:rRNA from 1 species
UCGAGAAUUUUUCUCAAUGGGCGAAAGCCUGAAGGAGCGACGCCGCGUGAGGGAUGAAGGGCUUCGGCCUGUAAACCUCUGUCAUUUGCGAACAAACCUUUUCACCUAACACGUGGAGAGCUGAUUGUAGCGAAAGAGGAAGGGACGGCUAACUCUGUGCCAGCAGCCGCGGUAAUACAGAGGUCCCAAGCGUUGUUCGGAUUCACUGGGCGUAAAGGGUGCGUAGGUGGUGAGGUAAGUUUGAUGUGAAAUCUCCGAGCCUAACUCGGAAAAUGCAUUGAAUACUACUUUGCUAGAGGAUUGGAGGGGAGUCUGGAAUUCUUGGUGUAGCAGUGAAAUGCGUAGAUAUCAAGAGGAACACCAGUGGCGAAAGCGAGACUCUGGACAAUUCCUGACACUGAGGCACGAAAGCUAGGGGAGCAAACAGG